UACGUAGGCAGCGAGCGUUGUUCGGAAUUACUGGGCGUAAAGAGUGUGUAGGCGGUGCUCCCAGUCUGUUGUGAAAUCUCCCGGCUUAACUGGGAGGGUGCAGCGGAAACUAGAGUGCUAGAGGGUGGGAGAGGUAAGCGGAAUUCCUGGUGUAGCGGUGAAAUGCGCAGAUAUCAGGAGGAACACCAAUGGCGAAGGCAGCUCACUGGGACGAUACUGACGCUGAGACGCGAAAGCGUGGGGAGCAAACAGG
rnacentral:rRNA from 1 species